GACUCUCGGCAACGGAUAUCUCGACUCUUGUCACGAUGAAGAACAUAGGGAAAUGCGAUACUUAGUGUGAAUUGCAGAAUCCCGUGAAUCAUCGAGUUUUUGAACGCAAUUUGCGCCCGAGGCCUCGGUCAAGGGCACGUCUAUCUGGGCAUCA
rnacentral:rRNA from 1 species